rnacentral:rRNA from 1 species
CUGCAGCCCGAGUGGUGAUCGAUUUUAUUGAGCCUAAAGCGUCCGUAGCCGGACUAGUAAACCCUUGGGUAAAUUGGGCAGCUUAACUGUCCAAAUUCCGAGGGGACUGCUAGUCUUGGGACCGGGAGAGGUCAGAGGUACUCAAGGGGUAGGGGCUAAAUCCUGUAAUCCUUUGGGGACCACCAGUGGCGAAGGCGUCUGACUAGAACGGAUCCGACGGUAAGGGACGAAACCCUGGGGCGCGAAACGGAUUAGAUACCCGCGUAGUCC